UACGGGGGGUGCGAGCGUUGUCUGGAAUCACUGGGCGUAAAGGGCGCGUAGGUGGCUCUGUAAGUUUGCGGUGAAAGCCCGGGGCUCACCCCCGGGUCUGCCGUGGAUACUGCAAGGCUUGAGUACUGUAGAGGCAGGUAGAAUAUCGGGUGGAGCGGGGGAAUGCGUAGAGAUCCGAUAGAAGACCGGUGGCGAAGGCGGCCUGCUGGGCAGUAACGGACACUGAGGCGCGACAGCGUGGGGAGCAAACAGG
rnacentral:rRNA from 1 species